rnacentral:snRNA from 1 species
AGAGAAUGGCUUGAACCUGGGAGGUGGAGAUUGCAGUGAGCCAAGAUCGUGCCACUGAACUCCAGCCUGGGCGACAGAG